UGGAGGACAUUUAAAUGGAGGACAAACUUUGGCCUUUGGCUAAGCACAAAAAAGAAGUUGACGAUCGAAAGCAACUGUUGGAGGGACUGGAGGUUGAAGGGGAAUAUGAAGAACUGUUAUUCAAAAAAGGAGAAAAAUUAACCAAUUUCAAUUCAAGAGAGGAUGAUUUGUUGGAGGCAGAAAACAAAGAUGGGAAAAAAGGAACUUUUCUUAAAAACUUACGUCGCAAGGUAUUAAAGACU